AGUUUGAUCCUGGCUCAGGAUGAACGCUAGCGGCAGGCUUAACACAUGCAAGUCGAGGGGUAGGGCAGCAAUGCUUGAGACCGGCGCACGGGUGCGUAACGCGUAUGCAAUCUACCUUUUGCAGAGGGAUAGCCCAGAGAAAUUUGGAUUAAUACCUCAUAGUAUAAUGGAUUCGCAUGGCAUUUAUUAUUAAAGUAACAACGGCAAAAGAUGAGCAUGCGUCCCAUUAGCUAGAUGGUAAGGUAACGGCUUACCAUGGCGACGAUGGGUAGGGGUCCUGAGAGGACGAUCAGCCACACUGGGACUGAGACACGGCCCAGACUUCUACGGAAGGCAGCAGUGGGGAAUUUUCCGCAAUGGGCGAAAGCCUGACGGAGCGACGCCGCGUGGGUGAUGAAGUCCUUUGGGAUGUAAAGCCCUGUCAGAGGGGAAGAAAAAAAUGACGGUACCCUCGGAGGAAGCAUCGGCUAACUACGUGCCAGCAGCCGCGGUAAUACGUAGGGUGCGAGCGUUAAUCGGAAUUACUGGGCGUAAAGCGUGCGCAGGCGGUUAUGUAAGACAGAGGUGAAAUCCCCGGGCUCAACCUGGGAACUGCCUUUGUGACUGCAUAGCUGGAGUGCGGCAGAGGGGGAUGGAAUUCCGCGUGUAGCAGUGAAAUGCGUAGAUAUGCGGAGGAACACCGAUGGCGAAGGCAAUCCCCUGGGCCUGCACUGACGCUCAUGCACGAAAGCGUGGGGAGCAAACAGGAUUAGAUACCCUGGUAGUCCAAUCCCGGGCCAUGGCGG
rnacentral:rRNA from 1 species